AGUGAACGCUGGCGGUAGGCCUAACACAUGCAAGUCGAACGGCAGCGCAGUAAGAGCUUGCUCUUACGGGUGGCGAGUGGCGGACGGGUGAGGAAUACAUCGGAAUCUACUUUUUCGUGGGGGAUAACGUAGGGAAACUUACGCUAAUACCGCAUACGACCUACGGGUGAAAGCAGGGGGUCUUCGGACCUUGCGCGAUUGAAUGAGCCGAUGUCGGAUUAGCUAGUUGGCGGGGUAAAGGCCCACCAAGGCGACGAUCCGUAGCUGGUCUGAGAGGAUGAUCAGCCACACUGGAACUGAGCCACGGUCCAGACUCCUACGGGAGGCAGCAGUGGGGAAUAUUGGACAAUGGGCGCAAGCCUGAUCCAGCCAUACCGCGUGGGUGAAGAAGGCCUUCGGGUUGUAAAGCCCUUUUGUUGGGAAAGAAAAGCAGCAGGUUAAUACCCCGCUGUUCUGACGGUACCCAAAGAAUAAGCACCGGCUAACUUCGUG
rnacentral:rRNA from 1 species